AAAGAAAAGGUUUGAAUUCAUGAAUCAGCGGUAGCUUCUUCCGAAUGAGUGAGUUGAGGUAGUGCUAGUCUUUCUUUUAAGGUAUAAAUUUGAUUCUUAGAAAAAUCUUGUUUUUUCUUCAUCUCUUUUUAUUCUGUUUGGUUUCUCUGAUCGAGGAAAAUCGAGGGAAAUUUGUAUCAAACUUGACAUUAGUCCUUGUUCUUUUUAAAUAAUUCCUGAUUCACCUGUGAGUUGGCAAAUUCUGUUCAUCCUGCAUUUUCCCGGAAGCCAAACAGGGGACUUAAAUGUUUUUAAUUUCGAAAAUUUUGUUCUCUUACGGAAAUAUUGAAAAAAUACAUGUCUUUCAGUUGGUCCCUUUAUUCUCUCCGAUUUCCCCUUAUUUUUUUCUAACGUCUUUUUUCCUUUACAGGCUGUUAAUUUUCUUUCUUAUUCUGUUCCGGCUUUAUCUCCGUCAUAUUUAGACUCGGAAUAAGCUAUUCCCCGGAUAUCCUGUCUUUUCUUAUUCCGGUUCUCAAUUUUUGGCCUCCGGUUUAUUG
rnacentral:lncRNA from 1 species